GCUGAGGCGUGAUGACGAGGCACUACGGUGCUGAAGCAACAAAUGCCCUGCUUCCAGGAAAAGCCUCUAAGCAUCAGGUAACAUCAAAUCGUACCCCAAACCGACACAGGUGGUCAGGUAGAGAAUACCAAGGCGCUUGAGAGAACUCGGGUGAAGGAACUAGGCAAAAUGGUGCCGUAACUUCGGGAGAAGGCACGCUGAUAUGUAGGUGAAGUCCCUCGCGGAUGGAGCUGAAAUCAGUCGAAGAUACCAGCUGGCUGCAACUGUUUAUUAAAAACACAGCACUGUGCAAACACGAAAGUGGACGUAUACGGUGUGACGCCUGCCCGGUGCCGGAAGGUUAAUUGAUGGGGUUAGCGCAAGCGAAGCUCUUGAUCGAAGCCCCGGUAAACGGCGGCCGUAACUAUAACGGUCCUAAGGUAGCGAAAUUCCUUGUCGGGUAAGUUCCGACCUGCACGAAUGGCGUAAUGAUGGCCAGGCUGUCUCCACCCGAGACUCAGUGAAAUUGAACUCGCUGUGAAGAUGCAGUGUACCCGCGGCAAGACGGAAAGACCCCGUGAACCUUUACUAUAGCUUGACACUGAACAUUGAGCCUUGAUGUGUAGGAUAGGUGGGAGGCUUUGAAGUGUGGACGCCAGUCUGCAUGGAGCCGACCUUGAAAUACCACCCUUUAAUGUUUGAUGUUCUAACGUUGACCCGUAAUCCGGGUUGCGGACAGUGUCUGGUGGGUAGUUUGACUGGGGCGGUCUCCUCCUAAAGAGUAACGGAGGAGCACGAAGGUUGGCUAAUCCUGGUCGGACAUCAGGAGGUUAGUGCAAUGGCAUAAGCCAGCUUGACUGCGAGCGUGACGGCGCGAGCAGGUGCGAAAGCAGGUCAUAGUGAUCCGGUGGUUCUGAAUGGAAGGGCCAUCGCUCAACGGAUAAAAGGUACUCCGGGGAUAACAGGCUGAUACCGCCCAAGAGUUCAUAUCGACGGCGGUGUUUGGCACCUCGAUGUCGGCUCAUCACAUCCUGGGGCUGAAGUAGGUCCCAAGGGUAUGGCUGUUCGCCAUUUAAAGUGGUACGCGAGCUGGGUUUAGAACGUCGUGAGACAGUUCGGUCCCUAUCUGCCGUGGGCGCUGGAGAACUGAGGGGGGCUGCUCCUAGUACGAGAGGACCGGAGUGGACGCAUCACUGGUGUUCGGGUUGUCAUGCCAAUGGCACUGCCCGGUAGCUAAAUGCGGAAGAGAUAAGUGCUGAAAGCAUCUAAGCACGAAACUUGCC
rnacentral:rRNA from 1 species